UACGGAGGGUGCGAGCGUUGUCCGGAAUCACUGGGCGUAAAGGGCGCGUAGGCGGCGGAGCAAGUCAACGGUGAAAGCUCGACGCUCAACGUCGAGUCGGCCGUCGAGACUGCUUGCUCGAGCACUGUAGAGGCAGAUGGAAUUCCGGGUGUAGCGGUGGAAUGCGUAGAGAUCCGGAAGAACACCGGUGGCGAAGGCGGUCUGCUGGGCAGUUGCUGACACUGAGGCGCGACAGCGUGGGGAGCAAACAGGAUUAA
rnacentral:rRNA from 1 species